UUAAUAACCCGGGUCGAGUACCCAAAAUAUUGA
rnacentral:ncRNA from 1 species